CUUCCGGUGAUGAUACUUUUGUCCAGUUCUGCUACUGAAGUUAAGCGAUGAGAUUUGUCAAUCUGAGGAAG